CGGGACGGGUGAGUAAUGUCUGGGAAACUGCCUGAUGGAGGGGGAUAACUACUGGAAACGGUAGCUAAUACCGCAUAACGUCGCAAGACCAAAGAGGGGGACCUUCGGGCCUCUUGCCAUCGGAUGUGCCCAGAUGGGAUUAGCUAGUAGGUGGGGUAACGGCUCGCCUAGGCGACGAUCCCUAGCUGGUCUGAGAGGAUGACCAGCCACACUGGAACUGAGACACGGUCCAG
rnacentral:rRNA from 1 species